rnacentral:rRNA from 1 species
CGGAGAUUCAGCAAUGGAUCUUAGUGGCGAACGGGUGAGUAACGCGUAGGCAAUCUGCCUUCUAGAUGGGGACAACAUCCCGAAAGGGGUGCUAAUACCGAAUGUUGUAGUUGGUUCGCAUGGACUAGCUACUAAAGGUGGCCUCUGAAUAUGCUACCGCUAGAAGAUGAGCCUGCGUCUGAUUAGCUAGUUGGAGGGGUAACGGCCCACCAAGGCGACGAUGGGUAGCCGAUCUGAGAGGAUGAACGGCCACACUGGAACUGAGACACGGUCCAGACUCCUACGGGAGGCAGCAGUGGGGAAUAUUGGGCAAUGGAGGCAACUCUGACCCAGCAACGCCGCGUGAAUGAAGAAGG